AACGAACGCUGGCGGCAGGCCUAACACAUGCAAGUCGAACACUGCAGCAAUGCAGAGUGGCAGACGGGUGAGUAACGCGUGGGAACCUUCCCAGUGGUACGGAAUAGCCCAGGGAAACUUGGGGUAAUACCGUAUAAGCCCCUAGGGGGAAAGAUUUAUCGCCAUUGGAUGGGCCCGCGUCGGAUUAGCUAGUUGGUGAGGUAACGGCUCACCAAGGCGACGAUCCGUAGCUGGUUUGAGAGGAUGAUCAGCCACACUGGGACUGAGACACGGCCCAGACUCCUACGGGAGGCAGCAGUGGGGAAUAUUGGACAAUGGGCGCAAGCCUGAUCCAGCCAUGCCGCGUGAGUGACGAAGGCCUUAGGGUUGUAAAGCUCUUUUGGCGGGGACGAUAAUGACGGUACCCGCAGAAUAAGCUCCGGCUAACUUCGUGCCAGCCGCCGCAGUAAUAC
rnacentral:rRNA from 1 species